rnacentral:lncRNA from 13 species
CAGCAAUAACAGCAGAUGCCAUCUUAGAUUAAUGAAAGUCUUCAAAAGUAUACCAUCAAUCACUGAACAUGUGCAUGAAGUGACCUUCAUGUCCAUUUUUUGUUCUACAUAAUUUUCCUCUCCUUGGACAAAUUUUUCAAGAUGGUGUCAGAAGUGGGAUCCAAAGUAGAGCUUCUAAUGAUCCCCAGGAAUGCUGAGUGACCAAAUGAGAUACCUGAUGGAGUCACUUGUGUCCACUUUCAGGACAGCUGAGGAUUUGUGGGAGGAGCUGAAGAGCUGAUGGGACUGCUGAAAAGAUCCCUUCCUGACUGAAAAGUAGUCACCCGAACUUUUGAUUCAGUAUUGCUGCAACAUGUAGAUUUUUCUCUGGCCUCCCUGAGCGCCU